UGGUUCGGGGCAGUUGAAAACGAGGAGGACGUACACAUCCAUGAGGCGGACGUGCGGAGUUGUGCUGGAAGAAGUCGUGCAUUUUGCGAUUGUGCAGCCCCCAAAACCCUACAGGCAAGGCGAUUUCGUUUAAAUUACACCCUCGUGCGUGCGUGUGUGGACUUUUACAAACAGGUAGGCUCUAUCGUAGCCAAGAUAUAAACUGUUUUGAGGAAGGCAACAAGGCCUCACAGGAUAAUGGCCAUGAAUUACGGUAGGCCUCCGCCAGACGUCGACGGCAUGACUUCUCUGAAAGUGGACAACUUAACAUACCGAACAUCGCCCGAAACCCUCAGACGUGUAUUCGAGAAGUAUGGCCGGGUAGGGGACGUCUACAUUCCCCGAGACCGCUACACGAAAGAAAGUCGGGGUUUCGCGUUUGUGCGUUUCCACGACAAAAGGGACGCCGAGGAUGCGAUGGACGCCAUGGACGGCGCGCUCCUGGAUGGGCGGGAGUUGCGGGUCCAGAUGGCCCGGUAUGGCAGACCCCCCGAUUCCCACCACGGUGGAGGGCGGCGAGGAGGGCCGACCAGGAGGCACGGCGGCCAUGGACGCCGAAGCAGGAGCUCUUCCCCCAGCCCAAGACACAGAAGACGCAGCCGAUCCCGCAGCAGGAGCCGCUCUCGUUCCCGAAGCCGAUCCCGCUACAGCAGAUCCAGGUCCCGGUCCUACUCCAGAUCCAAGUCCCACUCUCCCAGGAGCAAGAAGACCACGGCCAAGUCCCAAUCUCGUUCCAGAUCUAGAUCCAGGGGUCAGUCCAAGUCCAAGUCCAAAUCCAAAUCCAAGUCCAAGUCCAGGUCCAGGUCCAGAAGCCGCACCCCUUCCUCCAAAAGAGGGUCAAGGUCGAUAUCCAAAAGCCCGCCCAAGUCCGCAGCAGAAAAUGGAGGCGAAUCUCCUUAGAGCCCAGCACUUCAGCAACAGCUGCGGCAUCCUGUUUGCUAAAGUGGAGUUUGAGCUGAGCUGAGGCAGUAUGAGCAGUUAGAAGGUGUAUGGUGAGCUGCCCACAGGCCGCCUGCUGCUGGUGAGGGUUUCUGUGCAGCAGGGUGGAGGCAGUCAGAGUUGGGGUUUGGUGUUGAGGUACGUCUGUCUGUCCGCCACUGGACAUAAAGCUGUCCUCCAGGUCGCGUCCCCAGCCAGGGGGGGACGCUGGUGUUGGAGGGGCACCGAGUUUUCAGAUGAAGAUCGCAGAACGUCGAGUUCCAGACUGGAUCCCACGCAAGCAAGUGUCCUGCUGUAAAAGGUUAUUAUUGUGUCUUCCACGCUUUGGUUUGUUUUAUUCAUUUGGCCACAAAAGGGCUUUUUCAUUUUAUUGAUGUGCUGUGAUUUUAUUUGUUCUUCAUAACAUGUUUAUGAUUUUAAUAAUCUGGUUCAAUGUGGAGAGAAAUUUCUGUUCUGACCUGCAUUUGUAACGAUUACACGGGAUAAUGUACGAGUAUGUUCACGUUUAAGUUGGUACUAGUGGUUUAAGUUGCCUCUUUCCUUUUUAGUUCUUCUCCCCAUGGCCUGUAUCAAGACGCGAGUACAUAGUCUAGCUUUCCUACGCCGCACAUUGAUCCUGGAUAACCGGUGGCAUAAAUGUGGUCACCAACUGACUUCUUAUUGCGGUAAAAGCUAUACAAUCGUUUUAUCAUCUCAUCGAGUUUAGUCUAAAAGGGAAAGUCGCAUUUCUUCCUGAUGUUAGAAGCCGUGUUUUAAACCCAGACGGGACAAAUUAUUAUUGCGGAAAGCAAAGGGAUUCUACAAAUUAUUUUCAUUAUCAAUUAUUCUGUGGACCGUUUGUCUCGAUUUAAUCAUUUGGUCUAUAAAAUGUCAGUGAUGUUUGCUGGAAGAAUGACAAAAAGGUUAUGAGAAUAGUUGCUGAUGGAUCAUUUCCACUCUCUUGUUAAUACGUCUCACUUUAUGUCCACGUCGAGCUCCCGUAGAAUUUUUCACGUUAGCCGCGAUGAUCUGUCCUGGUGAGUGAGCCGGCUUCGUGAUACCGGAAAGCCCGAGUUAAACCCAAAGUUAGCCGGCUAACGCGUUAAUCUCGCUCUGUGAUACAGGCCUGCGGUGUCAGGAUAGUUAGACACACCAAGGCUCGUUUUCCUCACAUCCAGAGGCCAUUUACAAAUGUUCAUUUCUUGUUCCGAGUUAAAAAGCAUCCAAAGUGACAUAAUCCACACCAACUUUUAAACUUUGCUUAUAUUAUUGUUUUCAAAUCAGUGCAAACAUUUCGUUGAACUGAAGUAAUCCCUGAAAACUUAGCGUUGUCUGCUUCCUUACAGUCUUUAUUUUCGCAUCUCAGGGUGUCUUGUUAGACGGGACAGCAGAUCACUUUAACUCCUGUGAUAAAUGUGUUCGGUGUAAUUGCAUAUACAGUAAAAUGACUGAUGUGAACUGAAAGUUAAGUAGACAUCAGUUUGAAUGUUUCAGAUCAGUGAAAGGUCAUUUUAAGGUAUAAGCUCAUCUCCUUAAAUCGUUGGUUUAAUUUUACAGGACUCAAGACACAGUGUCUUGUUCUUUUCUUCUACAUUUUUUUUUCUUAUCCUAAUCCUGCUUGUAUGUUUAUUUUUAUUUUUUUGUGCACUAGGCGCAGUUGUGUAGCAGUUGAGUAUUGCUGGUUAGCUGUUAAGGUGGCGCGUUGCUCUGCUGAGUGCUUGGAUGUAUCCAGUAUUCUCCAGAAUGCUCCUGUGACUACCAGUGGUACGGUUGCUACAGUCUCACCCUUUGUACAAUGAAAUGUCUUUCCCCACAUGGUCAUGGAUGACAAAUGUGACUUUAAUUAAAGAUUUUGGUGUUUUGUCUA